UACGUAGGGGGCAAGCGUUGUCCGGAUUUAUUGGGCGUAAAGAGCGUGUAGGCGGCCAGAUAGGUCCGUUGUGAAAACUCGAGGCUCAACCUCGAGACGUCGGCGGAAACCAUCUGGCUAGAGUCCGGAAGAGGAGAGUGGAAUUCCUGGUGUAGCGGUGGAAUGCGCAGAUAUCAGGAGGAACACCGGUGGCGAAGGCGGGUCUCUGGGCCGAGAUUGACGCUGAGGAGCGAAAGCGUGGGGAGCGAACAGG
rnacentral:rRNA from 1 species